CGUAGGGGGCGAGCGUUGUCCGGAUUUAUUGGGCGUAAAGAGCGUGUAGGCGGCCUGACAGGUCUGCUGUGAAAACUCGAGGCUCAACCUCGAGAUGUCGGCGGAAACCGUCUGGCUAGAGUCCGGAAGAGGAGAGUGGAAUUCCUGGUGUAGCGGUGAAAUGCGCAGAUAUCAGGAAGAACACCUAUGGCGAAGGCAGCUCUCUGGGACGGUACUGACGCUGAGACGCGAAAGCGUGGGGAGCGAACAGGAUUAGAUACCCUGGUAGUCCACGCCGUAAACGAUGGGUGCUAGGUGUGGGCGGUGUCGACUCCGUCCGUGCCGAAGCUAACGCAUUAAGCACCCCGCCUGGGGAGUACGGCCGCAAGGCUA
rnacentral:rRNA from 1 species